rnacentral:misc_RNA from 1 species
UUUUUUUUUUUCACUCCAUUGCUGUGAUCCAUAAACUGUGAGUUCCUGCUCCUGUGUUUCUCUUUAAUUUUAUAUUCUUUUUCCUGUGUUCUUCAUUUUAAUUAAAAAGAGGUGUUGACUUGAAGUGAUUUGAAAAGAAAUAAAACAUGGACGAUGUGGUGUAUUUAAGGCUAUUCUAAGAAGAAUAUAAUUCAGUAUGCAACUAAAAUUUAGCUAAUCUAUCUAUAUAUUAGCAAAGCAAACUUAAUUUAUGAUGUUAGCUUAUUUAACUUGUAAUUCUUGAAGCAAAUUAAGAUUUAUGUCAAGUUCUUCCUCAAAUCCAGUGAUAACUUUGAGUGAAAACUGAAACUACGUGUGAAACUUUUGAAGUGCAUGUAAGAGUGUUUUUUGGGUGCUUGAUGGCCAGAGCAACUGAAGUACUGAACUGGAUGUGAGAAAAGUGGUUGCUGAUGUGGAAAAAAGGGGCAUCAGCAGCUGUCACACCCAAAUGACAUGGGUUGUAAUGUUCCUUAUGCGACUGAAAUCUCUGAAUUUUUUCAUCUAAUAACAUAACAAGAUACUUAGUUCUUGUGAUGAAACAGUUGUUUGAUUGUUUCAUUACUUAAUGGCCAUUAUUUAUAAACCUGGUUCAAUUUGCCUUUCUAUGCUUUGUCUGUGGCUGUUAUGUUACUAAUGUUGCAAGUAUUAUGCUGCAUCAUGCUUCUUGUUAAUAAGCAGAUAUUUAGAUUCACAUACCUUUUUAAUUGAAACAGAUAUGCUUGAACACGAAGAUACGA